CCUACGGGUUGCAGCAGUGGGGAAUAUUGCACAAUGGGCGCAAGCCUGAUGCAGCCAUGCCGCGUGUGAAGAAGGCCUUCGGGUUGUAAAGCACUUUCUGCGGGGAGGAAGGCGGUGAGGUUAAUAACCUCACCGAUUGACGUUACCCGCAGAAGAAGCACCGGCUAACUCCGUGCCAGCAGCCGCGGUAAUACGGAGGGUGCAAGCGUUAAUCGGAAUUACUGGGCGUAAAGCGCACGCAGGCGGUCUGUCAAGUCGGAUGUGAAAUCCCCGGGCUCAACCUGGGAACUGUAUUCGAAACUGGCAGGCUAGAGUCUUGUAGAGGGGGGUAGAAUUCCAGGUGUAGCGGUGAAAUGCGUAGAGAUCUGGAGGAAUACCGGUGGCGAAGGCGGCCCCCUGGACAAAGACUGACGCUCAGGUGCGAAAGCGUGGGGAGCAAACAGGAUUAGAUACCCCGGUAGUC
rnacentral:rRNA from 1 species